GAAAUCCACUGAAGGUCAUGGAUCUGGCUUCCACCUCCCCCUUCCAAGUAACUGUCACCAGCUGGUUCCGUGAUGCUUCCCACAACACGGGAGCUGCUUGGAGAUGGGGAAACCAUGACAAUAAAUCUUCAUCAACCCCUUUUCUCUGCCACGCGCAGCCUUACAGCGUUUUCUACCUCAUGCAAUAGGGCCAAAAGUGGAUCCAAUGCGGUAAAAUCAUCUAAAUUGGUUCAGAAACCUCAAACCAUCACUGGUCCCAUCUGACCUUAACCUUUAUGGAUCUAUGAUGAUUCCUUCCUGCAGGCCUAUGCAGUACUAACCAGCUCGUGUUGUUGGAGUGUUUUCAGACCUUCCUUGGAAAGAUGGAGGAGAAGAGAGACUUUUUUCUCACUGAAAGAUUUUUACCUUUGCUUUUUAUAUUUCUACGUGGUUCAGCACUUUUAUUUAGUAUUAGUGUUUCUUGCUGCCCUUGCUCUGCACCCUCCAGCCCCUUAUCCAGCAAUCGCCUAAGCCCUUGCUGUCCUUCAGAUAUGAAUCUGUGUUUGCUUAAAUGUCUCCAAAGCUGCUAGUGAAAAAGGCCAUGUAACUCUUUAGUGAUGGGCCUCAAACAACUGAGAUCAGAAAGGCAACCAAAGCUUCAGUUCCUUCUCCCAGCCUCACAUGGAUUAUCAAAUUUGUUGUCUUUCCAAACCUGGGCUGCAAAUAUUGCAAGAACAGGCUCCCAGGAGACUUCAGCAAUCUCUGCUGUCAGUGUUUCUGGGAGGAUAGCACCAGGAGAUCAGCAUCUCUCAUGGUAAUCCGGCAUUUGUGCUUGCUGUCACCUGGCUGGGACAUCAGCAGUUGUGCCUAGUGGUUGGAGCAGGAAUUGGAAGCCAGGAAUCAGAGCCUAGGCUCAGAGCUGGAGUCAGAGGCAAGGUGCCUGAGCCAGGGGGCUGCGCCAAAGUCAGAGGUCAGGAAUUGGGGCCAACAGUCAGUACUGGGUUACCUGGAGUGAGGUGAGGCUGGAAUAAGGAGGAGCUAUCCCAGCUUGGGUGAAUGCUUUGAGCAGCCAUUGAACUGCUACUGUUGCUGGGUUUAGGAGCUGGUCUGCUGACUUUUCCAACCAAUCAGGCAGCCUACUACAAGCCAGCUGCACUCGUCAGUUGCCUGGGGAUUGUCUCUGCUGCCUGACGCUUCCAAUCCUGGUUGGAACCAAGAGAAACUCACUAUGAAACAUUAGACUGGCUGCCUCUGUUUUCAGCUUCUUGCUGCUUUGAAUUUCGGCCACAUGCUCUGUGUCCACCACUACGUCCGCUCUCAAAGUGUGCUUGCUUCAGUGACUGGGCUUGGAAUACAUUUACCUCACUGAUUUCACUUGCAAUGCCUCUCCAGAAGUGAGGAGUGUAUUCCCUUGAAAGUGGAAUCACUGAAGGAAAGAAGAGAGAAAGGUCACACAGCCAUUCAAGACUAAAUGAGACUGCUGCAAUCUAGUGAAUGCUCUUUUUCUCCUUUUUUUAUGGGUUUCUCUCAGUCUGUUCUUGGUUUGUUCGUUUUUUUGUUUUGGUGGGAGAACUAGUAGGAUGGGAAUAAAGUCAUGUCUAUGCGAGGAUAGCCCUGUCCUUUCAGGUCUCAUGUGUGCUGUGUUUGUUUGCUCAGUCAGUUCCUGUAUAUGGUGGAUUCUUUUUGCUUCGCCAUUGUUUGGAAAAUGGAGAGUGGAGUAGAGAGACUUAGGCCUUGACUCAACAAGGUACUUAAACAUGUACUUAAGACUCACUCUCAAUGGGGUUUAAACAUAGGCUUAAGUGCUUUUCUGAAUUAGAGCCUGGGAUGGGAGAAAUGUACUUGGCCGUAAAUUGAGAGAAUGAGUCAGUGGAGGGCACAGAAGUGCAAGAGUAGGGUGGAGGGAGAAAUGAGAAGGUAAAAGAGAAGGUCAGAAAGAGGGUAAUUAAGGAAAUGCAGCAAAGAGAAAUUAUACAAGAGAGGAUUAGAAAUGUACAAUUGGUGUCAGUUCCCAAGAACAUAAAUCAUAUGCAGUUGGAAAGGAGAUAGCAGCAUAGCUGAAGGAAACCUAAGGAUGGUGGUA